AUGAAUAUCCUAAGCUGGAACCGCCGAGGGGCGGGGAAUACUCAGACAGUUCGUGAUCUUGUGAGUCUGGUUCAGGCUCAAUCCCUUAGUAUCGUUUUUCUUUGUGAAACUAGGCAAUCAAAAAAUAAAAUGCAGAGGUACCGUGCUCGGUUAGGGUUAAGAGGUUUUGAUGCUUUCGAUUGUGCCGGUCGUAGUGGAGGCCUUGCUUUGUAUUGGCAUGAGUCUGCGAGUCUUGAUGUAAAAGAAAUGGACCUGACUAACUUCCACAUGUCCGGAGGAUUGCAACACAUCCGGAUGGUUUCAAAAAGUAACAGGAGUGAGUGUGGUGUGCGAGCCAAUUCCUAA
rnacentral:rRNA from 1 species